rnacentral:lncRNA from 1 species
ACGACAUCAGCCCUGUCUAAACUGACGGAGCCCACAGCCGUGCCCAUCCCCAAGCUGUCUGUCUCCAACAUGGUGCACAGCGGCCGCUAACGCUAACGCCGCAUCGACGAAUCACCGCUCAGAAAUGACGUGCUCAACUCUAUACUGCUGGUGAGAGAGAGCAGGCAUGAAAACGGACACACAGACACACACACACACUCUUACCUUCUAAAGGCAUAUGGUGAUUUAGGCUGGCUGACAUCGUACUACACAAGAGGACAGCAGGAGAGUCUUCAGCCAGACUCCUCAGUUACUGGCCCUGCUGUGUGAACAGCUUCUUGAUCAGCCGUGAAGCCAUUGCUCAAGCAGUACCUUAUUCCCUACUUGCUCACACUGCCAUUGGCCUAGACCAGGUUUUCCCAAACCAUUGGCCUAGCGCCCCCCCCCCCAGCGCAUGUUUUGUUGUUUACCCUAGCACUACACAGCUGAUUCAAAUAUCAACAUCAUCAAGCUUUGUGUAGUGCUAGGGUAGGACCGAGUUUAGGAAACCCUGUGUUAGAGGCUCAGUGGUAAGUCAGACAGUUGUUAAAUAAAACAUUCAAAUCAGACACUCGGUUCGUAGCAGGAUUGUUCCUUCAGAGAUGUUUUUGUGUCAAGGUAAGGAAAUGGAUGUUCCCAUGUAGGAGAGCAUGUAAGCUUAUAUUUGUGUGUGUAUGGUGUCAGUAUCUCUUCCCAGACGCAGCCAAAGGUAAACAGUCAUCAGAGAACAGCGAGAGAAAGGCUGCUCCAUCACACACCGACAGGGAACCAGAAGAGAAGGAUUCUGACGACUAUACUGGACGGUGGUUCCCCAGACCUCCUCUGCUGUGUCCUCUGAUUCAGACUGGUCGGUGGUUCCCCACACCUCCUCUGCUGUGUCCUCUGAUUCAGACUGGUCGGUGGUCCCCCAGACCUCCUCUGCUGUUUCCUCUGAUUCAGACUGGUCGGUGGUCCCCCAGACCUCCUCUGCUGUUUCCUCUGAUUCAGACUGGUCGGUGGUCCCCCAGACCUCCUCUGCUGUUUCCUCUGAUUCAGACUGGUCGGUGGUCCCCCAGACCUCCUCUGCUGCUGUCUCCUCUGAUUCAGAUUGGUCGGUGGUCCCCCACACCUCCUCUGCUGUCUCCUCCACCAGAAACUCCAAGUAACUAACCGAUCAUAAAUGUUUAAUAGUCUGUAGUUUACUGUGUGAACAACCUCAGUAAUCAAUGCAGUGAGGUCCAUAUGUGCACAGUUGGGUCCAGUCUAUCAACUGUAUAGAUACAGACCUCGCUAUAAUUAUUACUAAGUCUGUUUACUUAGUCCAAAUAGGCUUUGUCAGAGAUGUCCUCUUCCCCCUUGAAGGCCUGCAACAACAGCAAAGUACUCUGCAAAGUCUUUGAUAAAGCCCAACACACCAACAUGAACAAUAGCUACAUGAAAGCAUUAAUCCAGCACAAAAGCAAUCUGAAUGCCAAAGUUAAUUGUUUAGGAAGAAUGGAUUAAAAUGGAUUAAUAUGUAUUAAUAUGAUGAUAGCAUAAGCUACCUGUACAGUCGUGGCCAAAAGUUUUGAGAAUGACACAAAUAUAAAUUUUCACAACAUCUGCUGCAUCAGUUUGUAUGAUGGCAAUUUGCAUAUACUCCAGAAUGUUAUGAAGAGUGAUCAGAGGAAUUGCAAUUCAUUGCAAAGCCCUCUUUGCCAUGCAAAUGAACUGAAUCUCAAAAAAACAUUUCCACUGCAUUUCAGCUCUGCCACAAAAGGAGGCUUCAGGGCGCCCAAGAAAGUUCAGCAAGCGCCAGGACCGUCUCCUAAAGUUGAUUCAGCUGCGGGAUCGGGGCAGCACCAGUACAGAGUUUGCUCAGGAAUGGCAGCAGGCAGGUGUGAGUGCAUCUACACGCACAGUGAGGCGAAGACUUUUAGAGGAUGGCCUGGUGUCAAGAAGGGCAGCAAAGAAGACACUUCUCCACGAAAAACAACAGGGACAGACUGAUAUUCUGCAAAAGGUACAGGGACUGGACUGCUGAGAACUGGGGUAAAGCCAUUUUCUCUGAUGAAUCCCCUUUCCGAUUGUUUGGGGAUUCCGGAAAAAAGCUUGUCCAAAGAAGACAAGGUGAGCGCUACCAUCAGUCCUGUGUCAUGCCAACAGUAAAGCAUCCUGAGACCAUUCAUGUGUGGGGUUGCUUGUCAGCCAAGGGAGUGGGCUCACUCACUAAGAACACAGCCAUGAAUAAAGAAUGGUACCAACACAUCCUCCGAGAGCAACUUCUCCCAACCAUCCAGGAACAGUUCGGGGACGAACGAUGCCCUUUCCAGCAUGAUGGAGCACCUUGCCAUAAGGCAAAAGUGAUAACUAAGUGGCUCUAGGAACAAAACAUAGAUAUUUUGGGUCCAUGGCCAGGAAACUCCCCAGACCUUAAUCCAAUUGAGAACUCGUGGUCAAUCCUCAAGAGGCGGGUGGACAAACAAAAACCCACAAAUUCUGACAAACUCCAAGCAUUGAUUAUGCUAGAAUGGGCUGCCAUCAGUCAGAAUGUGGCCCAGAAGUUAAUUGACAGCAUGUCAGGGCGGAUUGCAGAGGUCUUGAAAAAGAAGGGUCAACACGGCAAAUUUUGAUUCUUUGCAUCAACUUCAUGUAAUUGUCAAUAAAAGCCUUUAACACUUAUGAAAUGCUUUUAAUUAUACAUCAGUAUUACAUAGUAACAUCUGACAAAAAUAUCUAAAGACACUGAAGCAGCAAACUUUGUGAAAAUUAAUAUUUGUGUCCUUCUGAAAACUUUUGGCCACGACUGUACACCAGGAUCUUUCUUUUUUUUGUUUUGCAUAUUAGUCUGGCAGAGAUACUUGUAGUGCAGAAUUGGUACAUUUCUCCUCAGAGAGUGCUGAAUUUAGUGUAAAUUGAUCCUGGAGAGGAUGAUUUAAGAACGUCAGAACAGAAUGGUGAGCUUCAGCCAACGGAUACUAAUGUCUUAUGAUGAUGAUGAUGAUGAGGGAGUGAGUGAAUCGACAGGGAGCAGAGGGAGAGAUGGAGAGGGAGCGAGAGAUUGAGUCGACAGGGAGCAGAGGGAGAGAUGGAAGGAUGGAGAGAGUGAGCACUGCCUAGCCCCACAGCCCUGCCAGACGUCUGCAGAUAGCCCAGAUAGACCCAUGAACACUUUUCUUAUUCAGCCACCCACUCCUCACCUGGGGGAGGAAAGGAUGGAGAGAGAAAGAGAGAAGAAUAGAAAGAGGGAAGGAGGGAGAGAGGUGGUAAUAAAGAUGCCCAGAGAGACAGGGAGAGUGGGAGGGUGAGAGGGAAAGAGAGGUAAUAUCUUUCUGGAAAGUCGAGGCGGAGAGCAGUGAGAGCCUCUUUAACGGCAAUCACUUUAAUAAGAGGAAGAGGCUUCCAGGCAGCACUGUGUCUCUCUCUCUCUCUCUCUCUCCCUCUCCCUCUCUCUCUCUCUCUCUCUCUCUCGCUCUCGCUCUCCUCUCCUCUCUCUAUAUCCCUCUCUCUCAUCUCUCUCUCUCUCCUCCCUCUCUCUCGCUCUCUCUCUCUCCCUCAGAUCCUCUCUCUC